AUGGUGAUUUCGGCCUCGUCCCACUGCACCUUCGCCGAGGUGCUGCCCUCCUUCACCACGCCCAGCAGCGUGGCGUGCCUCCCCGUCUGCUUGUGCACGCAGCGCCCGCCCACGCGCAGGCCGGCGUCGGCUCCCCCGAUCACCGCCAGCACCGGCCACACCUCCGUGCACAGCGUCCGCAGGUGGAGCUCCGAGAGCUCGCCCAGGCCGUGCUGCCGGCCGUGGCGUCCCGCCCGCUCCUCCUCCGUGCGGACGGGCGUCUCCUGGAUCUCCCUCUGGGCCUCGUGCUCCUCGCGGCUCUGCACAGAGCGGCUCUUCUUCAGCCUCUGGCCCCCACCCGCCCCCCCUCCGCCGGCGGCCUCUCUGAAGCAGGGCUUGAUCUUGUGCAGGCGCUCCGUCAUGGUCCGGUUGAUGCAGUGGGUCCAGAGCUCGGUGCGGUGCAGGAUGCGGAUCAGCUGCGUGGUGGCCUCGGCCAGGACGGUGGCCGUCGGGCUGCAGACCGGGUCGCCGGGUAAGAGGUCGCGAGGAGUCCCCCUCAUCUGCAUGUCACAGAUCUUAACCUGCAGGAAGUACAACACACAAACGUUACAGGCAGCAACAAACACACAGGGACGCUAUGGGAUCUCCUCCCAGCGGAGGAGAUGGAUGUGGACGUCACCUUCUCUCCCGGGUUGCUGCUGUAGAACAUCACGCAGGGGAAGAGCUCGGUGGCGUCGACAUCCUCGAAGGCCAACUUGGGCUCCUGCAGGAUCACAAGUUAGCGUUCAGAGGACGACACGUGGCUCUUCUUUUGUGUUCCGCCGCCGUUUAGCGGGGUCUCACCUCUCCGUUCUUGCCGAAGGAGACGGUCCUGGCCUCCAUGUCCAGGACGCAGGUGAUGAAGUCUCCCUGAGUGAAGCUGCUGAGGGUCAGCGUCUGCUCCCCGUUGUGGUAGAGGUUCCCGCUGUACGCCCGGUACAGCCACAUGUCCGAGGUGGUGCGGUGGUUGAAGUCGUGCACGGGCCACCGGGAGACGCCCACGCAGGUGCCCUCGUUGCCCCGGUUCUCCUUCACGAUGUAGAACUACGGAGGAGGCGAGAUGUGAUCCAACAACAGGAAUCAGGAAACAUUUAUUACCAAAAUAUGUCAAACAUACAAGGAAUUUGUCUUGGCAGUUGGUGCGCGACAGUAGACAGUGUGGCAAUAGACAACAAGACAACAGGGGAAAAUAACCAGACGUUUGCUGUUGUCCUUUUUGCAGAUUAUUAUAUUAUUCAGUGGAGGACAUUCAGCUGA
ensembl:lncRNA